rnacentral:antisense_RNA from 1 species
CUUCAGGAGAGGGGCCUUCAAGAAGAGAACGAAGUUGGGGCGGAAAACAGGGGCUCUCCCAGCGCAGGAAGCCAGGCGAGCGACGACUGCCAGGUAGUGGGACCAGAACUCACCCACGGCAACAGAGCCCAUAACUGCAUCCCCUCAUGGGCCUUUGGGCUGUGCAGCCAGCUCCGUCUUCCUCCUGGUGACGAAUUGAGAGCGACGGAGUCGAAGCCAGAGUGACCCCUGGAAAGCAACAACUUCCGGAACGCGGCAUUAUGGGAAGUGACUAGGCCACCACCACCCCACCCCCCACCUCCCGGGACCAUCGGCUCUGACGCUAGUAAAUCUGCGCCUGCGUGCGGCUUGCGCCGGAUGUUCGGGCUUAGGGGUUUGGUUGUCAGUGCGUUUUCUGGUCUCUGACAUAACCAUGAAGUUAUACAAAUGCUUCUGAAGUGUGGGCAUCCGGUGGUGGUCUGAGCCUUGGAGUUUCCUAGAUGGUUACCUUAACAUUUGGAGGCUAAGAGGGGGAACGCUUAAAUUUGUUUCCCUAAUUCUGUCCUGUCGACUUCUAAAACUGAGUACUUAAGUUGUCUUGAAUUUACCUUCCUGCACCAUGUCAGAAUAAAAAACGCAGCGAGUGA